CCGAGUUCCUGCCCUCACGGGUAGAUCUCCCACCCUGUGUUAUCGUCACCUUGUUGCUUUGGCGGGCCGCCAGGCCUCGGUCAGGCUGCCGGCGCCAGCUGGUACGCGCCCGCCAGAGGACCCCAGACCCUGAAUGUUAGUGUCGUCAGAGUACUAUGCAAUAGUUA
rnacentral:misc_RNA from 1 species